rnacentral:rRNA from 1 species
UACGGGGGGGCGAGCGUUGUUCGGAAUCACUGGGCGUAAAGGGCGCGUAGGCGGCCCGCACAAGUCUGCGGUGAAAACCCCCGGCUUAACCGGGGGCCGGCCGUGGAAACUGUCGGGCUGGAGGCUGGGAGAGGGCAGCGGAAUUCCCGGUGUAGCGGUGAAAUGCGUAGAGAUCGGGAGGAACACCGGCGGCGAAGGCGGCUGCCUGGACCAGUCCUGACGCUGAGGCGCGAAAGCUAGGGGAGCAAACAGG